AAAAAAAAACGGAAGUUAUCCGCAGUACCAAUUAUAUUUUAGCAGGAGAAAUACGACUGUGUGACUGAACGAACGUGUUGCGGAAUAAACAAAUAAUUUUUAAGCGAAAAACAAAACCGACCUCAAUAAAA